rnacentral:rRNA from 1 species
CACGUAGGGUGCGAGCGUUGUCCGGAAUUAUUGGGCGUAAAGAGCUCGUAGGCGGUGUGUCGCGUCGGCCGUGAAAACCCGCGGCUCAACUGCGGGCUUGCAGCCGAUACGGGCAGGCUAGAGUUCGGUAGGGGAGACUGGAAUUCCUGGUGUAGCGGUGAAAUGCGCAGAUAUCAGGAGGAACACCGGUGGCGAAGGCGGGUCUCUGGGCCGAUACUGACGCUGAGGAGCGAAAGCGUGGGGAGCGAACAGG